UCGUCAGUGAGGUACAUCCUUACCUGUUCCCCCGUUGGGGUGCAGCACAUGAUGAUCGGAGAGCGUAUGAGACAUGAUUAACAGUCUCCGCAGCCGCGGUUUGCAACACCGCGGCUCGCUCCUAUCUGAA
ensembl:snoRNA U8 U8 small nucleolar RNA